rnacentral:rRNA from 1 species
CAAUAGCGUAUAUUUAAGUUGUUGCAGUUAAAAAGCUCGUAGUUGGAUUUCGGAUGGGACUUGCCGGUCCGUCGUUUCGAUGUGCACUGGCCAGUCCUAUCUUGUUGUCGGGGACUAGCUCCUGGGCUUCACUGUCCGGGACUAGGAGCUGAUGAGGUUACUUUGAGUAAAUUAGAGUGUUCAAAGCAAGCCUACGCUCUGAAUACAUUAGCAUGGAAUAACACGAUAGGACUCUGGCUUAUCUUGUUGGUCUGUGAGACCAGAGUAAUGAUUAAGAGGGACAGUCGGGGGCAUUCGUAUUUCAUUGUCAGAGGUGAAAUUCUUGGAUUUAUGAAAGACGAACUUCUGCGAAAGCAUUUGUCAAGGAUGUUUUCAUUAA